GGAGGAGGGAAGACCUUCAGGCUGGGGCCUGCCUGCUGGCGUGGAGGACAGCAGGAGGUGAGCAGGGCUGAGGGGAAGCGCGGAGGUGAGCUUGGAGGGGGAGCCGAGGGCCGAUCACUCAGACCCACGGGGGGGGAGACAGAGGCGCACAGGCGGGCGCUGACCCCUCUCAUCUCUGUUUACCGAGGCUCUUCCCCUUGUGCCUGGAAAACACCGACGCAAAGGCCAGAAGAGUCGGAGCCAGGGCAGCAGUGCAGCACGGCCUGCCCACUGCCAACUGAAAGCCGAUUCUACUACGGAUGUGAGAAAGCUGAGAUGCCCAAAGGAGAAGUGACCGGAGAGGACAGGUUUGGGUGCAGGGCCUCCCACCUCCAACAGAGCCAGGUUGGGGCACGAUGGGGAGGCAGGGUCCUACCCCAGGAGGCCAAAGGGGCAUCUCACCGAAAGCCCCCUUCCCUUGCAGGCUGGGGCAGUCCUGACACUCUGGGUCAGCCUUCAAUCAACGUGGACCUUUCUUCUUGCUGCAUGGAGUUUUUGUUUGUUGUUUGUUUUUAAGGCCGCACCUGCAGCAGACGGAAGUUCCCAGGGCUAGGGGCCGAAUCGGAGCUGCACUCACCGGCCACAGCCACAGCAAUGCCAGAUCCAAGCUAUGUCUUCAGCCUACCUACGCAGGAACUGGUGGCAACGUGGGCUCCUGAGCAAGGCCGGGGAUGGACUCCACCUCCUCAUGGAUACUAGUUGGGUUCUCAACCUGCUGAACCUCAACAGAACUCCAGGAAUGCGUUUAUUAAACACGGUGAACACCUUUAAAAAACAUACAUGCAGGGAGUUCCCGUCGUGGCGCAGUGGUUAACGAAUCCGACUAGGAACCAUGAGGUUGCGGGUUCGAUCCCUGCCCUUGCUCAGUGGGUUAACGAUCCGGCGUUGCCGUGAGCUGUGGUGUAGGUUGCAGACACGGCUCGGAUCCCGCGUUGCUGUGGCUCUGGAGUAGGCCGGUGGCUACAGCUCCGAUUCAACCCCUAGCCUGGGAAUCUCCAUAUGCCGCGGGAGCGGCCCAAGAAAUAGCAACAAUAACAACAACAACAACAAAAAAGACAAAAGACAAAAAAAAAAAAAAAAAGACAUGCACACACGUGUAAUCAAUGUAGGGAUCCUUGGAGUUCCCAUCACAGCUCAGUGGUUAACGAACCAGACUAGUAAAUAAAAAGAAUGAAUGAGGAACA
rnacentral:lncRNA from 1 species